rnacentral:tRNA from 1 species
GAGCCGAAGUGCAUGGGUGCACGCCACCCCUAAGCCCCGACAGGGGUGGCCGGGCGGUAGAGCGGGUUCGAGUCCCGCCGGCUCACCA